GAUGAUGGGCGAGAUGACGGCCUUUCUCCUCUCGGCUGCUGGCAGUCGGCGCCCCAGUCGAGCAUCAUCCGGUGAGAUCUCUCCGCCCGUCCUUCUGAUCCCUUGGUUCCAGGAUGUCGUGUCUUUUGGUAUUCCAGGAUCAAACAUGACCAUUCUUCUCAUGUUGUCUACUGCAUCAUUCUUGUGCUGGUCAUUCCCAUCCCAACUAUUGUGGCUAAUGUUGGUGAUAGUCUUGAAACUCUCCAUAGUUGCAUUAUUUGCAUUCUGUGAUAGUUUUUAUAUCGAAGUGUGAGGACAAAACAAGCUCUUUUUUCUUUUUAAAAUUUAGUAUACUUUUGAACCUUCAUGCUUAUCUCAGGAAGCUUUGCCUCUGCUUUCAGCUGCAAGGUAUUUUGACUGACUUUUGCUUUGUGGCUUUGUCCUGGAGGCAUAUAUUGAAGAUUUCAGGGGGAUAUCAUGUCCUGAGUUAUCUUCUGGUUGACUUAGGAUAUCAUACUACCUUACAUAUUUAAAUAAAUAUGACUGCAUAAUAUCAUUUUGUUUUUUGAUAUGGUGUGGGUCUGGAAUAGUAUGGAUUAUAUCAGACACAGAUCUGAUAAUGAAUAGAUAUUGCUUAAGUUUGUUUUGAUUCGCAGCAGGUAGGUUUAUAGCACGUUUUUUAACCUGUUAUACAUGAGACCGAAGUAGGAGAUAUAAUAGAUAAGUACUUGUGUUGAUAGUUUGAUAGUAUAGACUCGUACAGACUUUAAAGGAUUUUUGUUUGGAUAGUAUAAAUAAUAUAGAUGUGUAUGAACUUGAAAGGAGUAUCUCGACCAUGCCAUGUAGACCUCUUGUUGUUUUACAUGUUAUUUUUUAAACUAUAGCCUUGGAGGUGGUUAGACACAAAUAAAAAGAGGAGGAAGAAGAAGAAUACCUUGAGGGGUCAAACUAAAUACGACAAAGAACAGCUUUUUUGACCAAAUUGGAAGGGGAGACUAAGGCAAAAUUGCAUAUAUAUAUAUAUAUAACAUUAAAACUUUAGUAAUUCCACAUCAUUCAUUUGUUGUGUGUCAGUUUGUUUAUGUGAUUGACUCCCUCUGACUUUUUACUCCUCAUCUCAGUAGAGGUUUCCAUAUUUGAAAGACACCUUGUUUGUUCACAGUUAUGGAAGAUGACUGACUCAUCAUAUUGAACUGGAUUUUAGGAUGACUGCUGUGAGUUUAUGUAUACUAUUUUAUUAGUACUAGGAUUAUAUCACUGAUCACUGCUUUGAUGUUCACUUAUAAUAUCUUGUUUCUGUUGUGGCAAUUCUUCGACAUCAAACAUAAUUUGUAUCUGGAUCAAUUUUAGAGGUAUCUUCACUACCAAAGGAGGGACACAUACCAGUUGAGCAACCACGGAUCUUGAUUCACAGCCAACCAUGGAAGAAACUAUCCUACUAGGUGAUGACGUUAUGCUGGGGCUUCCUUCACCUAUCAUUCCCCCUGAGAUUGCAUCUCAUGUUCUUGAAGGUGUUGACUUAUGUGAUGGAGUUUUAAGGAAUCUUUUCUUAUUAAAGUGAUAGCGGAUCAUCUCAUAUGACUCUAUAGUGGCGAGUGCUAGGGGCCAUCUUGUCUCCAAAGAACUAUGAUUGCUAUCGAGUCAGUGAUCUUUAUUUUGGAAAUAAAAGGGAAAGUCAUUUAAUAAAUACCUUCGGCUUGAAAAUCAACAAUAUCAAGCCAUUUUGCCAAGAUGAGAUUGUCUUGUAUCAACAGUGUGCUGAGAAAAGGGAUAAGUAGUUAAGACAGAGGCUCUUACAUAGUGAGCAUAAGUUGGGGUUGUCUAUGCCCUUUACUGCAGCAAAGGAAAGAGCUGCUGAACUCCAAUUGGAGGUUACAUCUUUGGAAAGGCACAUGAUGAUUCUUGCAAGUGGAAUUGAAAUCAUGGAACGAUUUCACCAGCGCUGGAGUUUGCAUGGACGUCUUGAGGAUCCUAAAAAAGAUCGGAAGCUUUAAACUGGGGAAUUGUGAAAAGGAAACCUGGCAACAUCCAAGGAGAGCCUAAAGGAGAUGCAGUUAGGAAGAAAUGGAUUUUUCGGUAGAUUUGUUUGUGUUCUUGUGAUUUCUGGUAAGUAGGCCUCCAAGUGCAUGUUAGUCUGCUUUUUGACUUUCUAUAUACAAAACUCUUUAGAACUGUUGUCACUGUGCUUUUCAUUUUGAACUUGUAGAGCAAUGAUUUGCUUUGGCGUAA